rnacentral:sRNA from 1 species
CCCGAUAUGACUUAAAAGAUCUCAAGAAACGUUGAAAAUCAAUUAGUCUGGAUGAAAAUGAAAUCCUACUCAGAAGUGGCCGACAUCGUUUCAAAAGUACAGAAGUUAGCACAAAUCAAAGAAUUGUUACAAAAAGUCUUAGAAAAUAUUGAUUCGGUAAGUAAUUUAGACUUUACUUUUCAAAUCUAUAAAAA